UACGCUCAAAUCACGUUGAAACACUACUUCCCGUCAGAUCAACGAAGUUAAGCCAUGUCGAGCCUGGUCAGUACCUCGAUGACCGCUUGGGAAUACCAGGUGCUGUAAG